GAUGAACGCUGGCGGCGUGCCUAAUACAUGCAAGUCGAGCGAACAGACGAGGAGCUUGCUCCUCUGACGUUAGCGGCGGACGGGUGAGUAACACGUGGAUAACCUACCUAUAAGACUGGGAUAACUUCGGGAAACCGGAGCUAAUACCGGAUAAUAUAUUGAACCGCAUGGUUCAAUAGUGAAAGACGGUUUUGCUGUCACUUAUAGAUGGAUCCGCGCCGCAUUAGCUAGUUGGUAAGGUAACGGCUUACCAAGGCAACGAUGCGUAGCCGACCUGAGAGAGUGAUAGGCCACACUGGAGCUGAGACACGGUCCAGACGACAACGGGGAGAAGCAGUAGGGAAUCUUCCGCAAGGGGCGAAAGCUUGACGGAGCAACGCCGCGUGAGUGAUGAAGGUCUUCGGAUCGUAAAACUCUGUUAUUAGGGAAGAACAAAUGUGUAAGUAACUAUGCACGUCUUGACGGUACCUAAUCAGAAAGCCACGGCUAACUACGUG
rnacentral:rRNA from 1 species